UUAUUAAAGUUGUUGCGGUUAAAAAGCUCGUAGUCGAAUUUGUGUCCCGCACCGCCGGUUCAUCGUACGCGGUGUUAACUGGCGUGCCGCGGGACGUCCUGCCGGUGGGCCUAAGCUCGCAAGGGCGUCGGCCCGACCCAAUCCCGCCGCGGUGCUCUUCAUUGAGUGUCGAGGUGGGCCGGCACGUUUACUUUGAACAAAUUAGAGUGCUUAAAGCAGGCUAAAACUUCGCCUGAAUACUGUGUGCAUGGAAUAAUGGAAUAGGACCUCGGUUCUAUUUUGUUGGUUUUCGGAACCCCGAGGUAAUGAUUAAUAGGAACGGAUGGGGGCAUUCGUAUUGCGACGUUAGAGGUGAAAUUCUUGGAUCGUCGCAAGACGGACAGAAGCGAAAGCAUUUGCCAAAGAAAA
rnacentral:rRNA from 1 species